GACGUAGGGGGCGAGCGUUGUCCGGAUUUAUUGGGCGUAAAGCGCGCGUAGGCGGUCCGUUAAGUCGGAUGUGAAAAUCCGGGGCUCAACCCCGGACCUGCAUCCGAUACUGGCGGGCUGGAGGCAGGUAGGGGAGAUCGGAAUUCCUGGUGUAGCGGUGAAAUGCGCAGAUAUCAGGAGGAACACCGGUGGCGAAGGCGGAUCUCUGGGCCUGUCCUGACGCUCAGGCGCGAAAGCUAGGGGAGCAAACAGG
rnacentral:rRNA from 1 species